ensembl:lncRNA
AUGUCCUUCGCUGAAAUACUCGGGUAUGGCCCAGGUGCCUGGAAUAACUCCACGCCAAGGUUACUGGCAUAUAAGCAAGGUACUGAGAGUGAGAAAACCAGGGAGCCAGGACUUGUAAGACCACGAGGACCCUCAGACAACUCUUUGCUGAGCCUCCGGGUCUGGCCUCCAGCACUCCUCUUUCCACAGAAAAGAAGGCGCUUUACAAGCAAGGUCGGUUGGAACUGCAGAGCUCCGCUCGCCCAUCAUCUCCAUCCGGUGUUUCCAGCGUACCAAGAGAUAUGCAUGCCUCACAGUAUCAGACACUAGGACAGCUAAAAAGCGGCAGUUCAAGAUCGUUUCAGAGCCCUCCAUAACUUUAAACAUGCUAAGGCUGUAGAUGUGCAUGUGUAUCUGUCACAACCAAUUUUGCUCCAAGUUAUUGACAUUCUCCUUACGUACAUCACAAGGCACCAGCUAGAAUUUUUGGGCCAGAUCCAAAAAAAGGAAUUACUUUACCACUCGGAUUUCUGUGCUCUCUCAGACGCAUAUGCUUUCUAAUGUUAUUUAACAUUCAUGGCUGCUAGCGAUAAUUAAGCACUCACUGGAUCUGCAGAGGAUGCUCGUGGUACACAACGAGGAAGACAGCCCGUGCGAAAGACAGAGGAAGGGAGGGGUGACCAGCGUGGGGCUGGCCAUCCUCCGCCGUUCCGAAGAACCAGGACUUCUUUGAAGGAGCUCGUCUCAGGCUUCCUGCCUCAGACACGGUUCCUAGAGAGCGUGCUGCCCGCAGCCCCGAGGCAGGCAGCAUUGGCCCGCGUGUGUGAGCCGCUGAUGCAGGCAGAGCUCUCUGAGCUGUCCAGGCCCUGCGGAGAAGGCCCGGCCUGCCAGCCUGGCGCUGCAGAGCAGCCACACUGCGGGCAGCUGGCACGGCCGCCGUCCUGGGCACCAGAGGCCUACGGCAGCUCCAAAUCCCCCCGGUCGCCGUGCCGCCUCGGCUUCUGUCCCUGCCGCGCAGAGCCAUUGCUGCGCUGCGUUUUUAAAUAUCAAGUUGUUUACGGUGAGUUAACUUGUGCUGGCUAGUAGCCGUGUAAAUACUAGUGCAGACAGGAACGCUACAGGACUCCUGAGGUUUGUGGUUUACACGCCGUCUGGCAGAAAGGGAAACAGACUGCAGUCCAGGCACAAAACUAGCACAGCCUAAGCUGUUCUUGAGGAGGAACCUGCACUCUGAGAAGAACUCGAAACGCAGCAGUUACAGGUGUGAAGAAAACCUGCCCCUCUCCUCCCAGCAGAUGGGGGACUGCUGCUGAGCACACGCAUUGUGAACGUGGAUCCUGGGGGAGGUUUCCCUGCAGGCAGGAGCAGGGAACGUGUCCGAGGCCGCAGCGCAGAGCUCACCUGGCUCCUGAUGAGCCAACGCGUGGACACAGCCCACGGGUACUUAGCACACGCGUAAGAUACUCCAGAGAUACCCCAUACGCACUGGCCUCGAGCAACUUUUCUGUUUCCUCUCCACCACACAACAGCACAGAAGAUAGCAAGCAAAUCCAAAUUUUAGAUGUACUAAAAAGUUGGGAAUAGGUAUUGGGUCUGUUAGAUGAAAGCUGUCGCGUGGUUAUGGUAAUCAGGACAUCCAGAAAUGAGUUAACGACUCACCAGUUCAUCCUUACACCUCAGAGUGCCUGGCACAAAACCAGGGUCUGAGUAUCCCCGAUAUGUUCAAUAAAUCAGAAUUCCACUUAAAACUUCA